GCACGGUUGUCAGAGAGGCUAUGAGCGGGAUUGCAGAUCCUGAGACGGGAGUUCGAAUCUCCCACCGUGCUCCA
rnacentral:tRNA from 1 species